UGACUUCAGUUCCUCUUCCUGUCUGCAGUCCACAGGAAGGUUUGAUGAGGUCACACAACAACUGGGUCUGUUUCACCCAGGAAGCUGCAGGCUUCACGCCAACAUUGCAAACGGCUUCCUGGCUUUGCGAGACCCCACAAAG